AGAGUUUGAUCCUGGCUCAGAUUGAACGCUAGCGGGAUGCUUUACACAUGCAAGUCGAACGGCAGCACGAGAGAGCUUGCUCUCUUGGUGGCGAGUGGCGGACGGGUGAGUAAUAUAUCGGAACGUGCCCAGUAGCGGGGGAUAACUACUCGAAAGAGUGGCUAAUACCGCAUACGCCCUACGGGGGAAAGGGGGGGAUCGCAAGACCUCUCACUAUUGGAGCGGCCGAUAUCGGAUUAGCUAGUUGGUGGGGUAAAGGCUCACCAAGGCAACGAUCCGUAGCUGGUUUGAGAGGACGACCAGCCACACUGGGACUGAGACACGGCCCAGACUCCUACGGGAGGCAGCAGUGGGGAAUUUUGGACAAUGGGGGAAACCCUGAUCCAGCCAUCCCGCGUGUAUGAUGAAGGCCUUCGGGUUGUAAAGUACUUUUGGCAGAGAAGAAAAGGCAUCCCCUAAUACGGGAUGCUGCUGACGGUAUCUGCAGAAUAAGCACCGGCUAACUACGUGCCAGCAGCCGCGGUAAUACGUAGGGUGCAAGCGUUAAUCGGAAUUACUGGGCGUAAAGCGUGUGUAGGCGGUUCGGAAAGAAAGAUGUGAAAUCCCAGGGCUCAACCUUGGAACUGCAUUUUUAACUGCCGAGCUAGAGUAUGUCAGAGGGGGGUAGAAUUCCACGUGUAGCAGUGAAAUGCGUAGAUAUGUGGAGGAAUACCGAUGGCGAAGGCAGCCCCCUGGGAUAAUACUGACGCUCAGACACGAAAGCGUGGGGAGCAAACAGGAUUAGAUACCCUGGUAGUCCACGCCCUAAACGAUGUCAACUAGCUGUUGGGGCCGUUAGGCCUUAGUAGCGCAGCUAACGCGUGAAGUUGACCGCCUGGGGAGUACGGUCGCAAGAUUAAAACUCAAAGGAAUUGACGGGGACCCGCACAAGCGGUGGAUGAUGUGGAUUAAUUCGAUGCAACGCGAAAAACCUUACCUACCCUUGACAUGUCUGGAAUGCCGAAGAGAUUUGGCAGUGCUCGCAAGAGAACCGGAACACAGGUGCUGCAUGGCUGUCGUCAGCUCGUGUCGUGAGAUGUUGGGUUAAGUCCCGCAACGAGCGCAACCCUUGUCAUUAGUUGCUACGCAAGAGCACUCUAAUGAGACUGCCGGUGACAAACCGGAGGAAGGUGGGGAUGACGUCAAGUCCUCAUGGCCCUUAUGGGUAGGGCUUCACACGUCAUACAAUGGUCGGGACAGAGGGUCGCCAACCCGCGAGGGGGAGCCAAUCUCAGAAACCCGAUCGUAGUCCGGAUCGCAGUCUGCAACUCGACUGCGUGAAGUCGGAAUCGCUAGUAAUCGCGGAUCAGAAUGUCGCGGUGAAUACGUUCCCGGGUCUUGUACACACCGCCCGUCACACCAUGGGAGUGGGUUUCACCAGAAGUAGGUAGCCUAACCGCAAGGAGGGCGCUUACCACGGUGGGAUUCAUGACUGGGGUGAAGUCGUAACAAGGUAGCCGUAUCGGAAGGUGCGGCUGGAUCACCU
rnacentral:rRNA from 2 species